AUAAUUUAGGAUAGGAAUUGGUAAAUUCAGUCUCUGUGGAAUACGACCUUGCUUGCUACUGUACACAAUUGCACCCGUACACUUGCGGCGUGUUAAAUAAAUUAGCGAACAAGUUUUUGGCGCCGUUGCCGGGGACUGAUUUUUAUCAGUACUAUCUGUUAAUUGUUUGAUACUACUCUGGAUUUUUAUUUCUGUUUAUUUUUUUUUCUGUUCUUUAUUUUUCCUGCGGUUCUGAUUCUUGCGUUGGAGUUUUCUAGGUAGUGAAUGAACACACGAUCUCAGAAUCUUCCUCUUGAAGAUUUUGAUCCUGAGAUUGAAGCUACGUGCCGCCAUAACAACAGCCAGACGACCAAAGCCAAGUUGGAUCACAUGGCUACUGCGGAAGAAGUCCGUGCUUUGAGAGAACAGCUGCAACGCCUGUUAGAUGCUCAGAAAAAUGCUGAAGAGCAGAAGCAGGCGCCUAUUGAUGAGGCAUUUAC
rnacentral:lncRNA from 1 species